rnacentral:rRNA from 1 species
GUGGAUUAGAUACCCUGGUAGUCCACGCCCUAAACGAUGAAUACUCGCUGUUGGCGAUACACAGUCAGCGGCUAAGCGAAAGCGUUAAGUAUUCCACCUGGGGAGUACGCCCGCAAGGGUGAAACUCAAAGGAAUUGACGGGGGCCCGCACAAGCGGAGGAGCAUGUGGUUUAAUUCGAUGAUACGCGAGGAACCUUACCCGGGCUUGAAAGUUAGUGAAUUAUCCAGAGAUGGAUAAGUGAGCAAUCACACGAAACUAGGUGCUGCACGGUCGUCGACAGCU